AACCCCUACGUUUAGUUGCUAACAGGUGAAGCUGAGCACUCUAGCGAACUGCCGUUGACAAAACGGAGGAAGGUGGGGAGUGACGUCAAAUCAUCAUGCCCCUUAUGUUCUGGGCUACACACGUGCUACAAUGGCCGGUACAGACGGAGGCGAAGCCGCGAGGCGGAGCAAAUCCGAAAAAGCCGGUACUCAGUUCGGAUUGCAGGCUGCAAUUCGCCUGCAUGAAGUCGGAAUCGCUAGUAAUCGCAGGUCAGCAUACUCGCGGUCGAAUACGUUCCCGGGCCUU
rnacentral:rRNA from 1 species